CUUGCUAUGGUAGAAAAUGGACAAUGAAAUAAACCAAUUGGACCCGGGGGGCGGUACCCGGCGCCUCCACCAAAAUAUAAAAAAUAAAGAUUAUAUUUUUAUGGGGGCGAAACAGGAUCGACAAGGGUGUAAAGGUUGCUCUUUUACUCGGCAUUGUACCACCGUUAUCGGACUAAAUGAGUAGUUGCAAAUGACAACUAUGCGGAAGCCCGUCUCAUCGCUGCUUAAGCGAUGCGAAAGCUUCAAACUAAGUCUUAAACCGUCGCAGGUCUAAGCGGGGUUCGAAGGCACCUGCAAACAGAAGCAA
rnacentral:tmRNA from 1 species